rnacentral:rRNA from 1 species
AGCGAACGCUAGCGGCGGGCCUAACACAUGCAAGUCGAACGCGUACCUUCGGGUACGAGUGGCGAACGGGUGAGUAACACGUAGGUAUCUGCCUUUCGGUGGGGGAUAACCCGGGGAAACUCGGGCUAAUACCGCAUAUGGUCUACGGAUCAAAGCCUUCGGGCGCCGGAAGAUGAGCCUGCGGCCCAUUAUUUAAUCCUAGUUGGCGGGGUAACGGCCCACCAAGGGUACGAUGGGUAGCUGGUCUGAGAGGAUGAUCAGCCACACUGGAACUGAGACACGGUCCAGACUCCUACGGGAGGCAGCAGUGGGGAAUAUUGCGCAAUGGGCGAAAGCCUGACGCAGCCACGCCGCGUGGGAGAUGAAGGCCUUCGGGUUGUAAAACCCUGUCGUGGGGGAAGAACGCAAUGACGGUACCCCACAAGAAAGCACCGGCCAACUCCGUGCCAGCAGCCGCGGUAAU